rnacentral:rRNA from 1 species
CCUACGGGAGGCAGCAGUGGGGAAUCUUGCGCAAUGGGCGAAAGCCUGACGCAGCGACGCCGCGUGAGGGAUGAAGGUCUUCGGAUCGUAAACCUCUGUCAGCAGGGAAGAACGGUCACUGUGCUAAUCAGCAGUGAAUUGACGGUACCUGCAAAGGAAGCACCGGCUAACUCCGUGCCAGCAGCCGCGGUAAUCCGGAGGGUGCGAGCGUUAAUCGGAAUUACUGGGCGUAAAGCGCUCGUAGGCGGUAUGUCAAGUCAAGGGUGAAAUCCCCGCGCUCAACGUGGGAACUGCCUUUGAAACUGGCAAACUGGAGUGUGUGAGAGGAUAGUGGAAUUCCAGGGGUAGGAGUGAAAGCCGUAGAUAUCUGGAGGAACAUCAGUGGCGAAGGCGACUAUCUGGCACAUAACUGACGCUGAGGAGCGAAAGCGUGGGUAGCAAACAGGAUUAGAUACCCCGGUAGUC